rnacentral:tRNA from 1 species
UAGCUCAGCUGGAUAGAGUACCUGGCUACGAACCAGGCGGUCGGAGGUUCGACUCCUCC